rnacentral:tRNA from 1 species
GGCGGGGUGGUGCAAUGGUAGCACGUCACUCUCUGAAGGUGAAGCUUCUGGUUCGAAUCCAUUUCAUUUCCUA